UAAGACCUGCGAAAUACUAAUACACAUCUCCUGAAUGCAACUCAGACACUUUAAUUAAGCUAAGGCCUC
rnacentral:tRNA from 1 species